rnacentral:misc_RNA from 1 species
UUUCCGUAGGUGAACCUGCGGAAGGAUCAUUCCCAAUAAAGCGUUUGAUGGCACUUUUUAAAAAUCCAUCUCCACCUUGUGUGCAAUGUUAGAUCGGGUCAAGCUUGGCGAGAUUUUUAUACAUCAACUCAUUCUUUCCCUAAUUUGUCUGAAAAAUAUCAGGAAUACUUGAUUCAAAAUACAACUUUCAACAACGGAUCUCUUGGCUCUC